CGGUUUACGAUUUAUGACGUAUUUAAAAAAAACUACUUACUAGAUCUCGUUCAAACCAAUUUUCAGUGGAAGUUUGCAUGGUAAUGUACAUCAUAUAUUUUUUUCAGUUUUAUCAUUCUCUUAUUUUAGAAGUUACAGGGGGGGGGGACACACAUUUUACCACUUUGAAAGUGUCUCUCGCGUAAACUAUUCAUAUGGGGAACCCCCAAAAUUAAUUGUUUUUUUUUUUCUAUUUUUGUGUGAAAAUCUUAAUGCGGUUCAUAGAAUACAUCUACUUACCAAGUUUCAACAGUAUAGUUCUUAUAGUUUCAGAGAAAA